GGACCUGGGGGUGGCGAGGGCGGGAGGAAAGGGUUGGCAGAAGGGGGGCCGGGAAGCUGGGCUCGGGGCGAGCGGGCCGUCGCGUUCAUUUCCAUAAGAAAGCUGAAAUCGCAGUUGGAGGCAGGAUUUCUCGCCCUUGCGGCCCUUCCCCCAUGCCCGGUUUUCUGCAAGAAGCGGGCUCGGAAGCUCAGAGCUCUAAGUGCGCGCUCUGGUCUUUGAUGGUGUUGAUAAAAUGUGGUUUCAAAUGUUGUCCCGAAUGAGGCCGGUUUCCUGUCUGUGUGUGGAGUGGAAGGACCGCGCCGGUGUGCAAUGUUCCAGCCGACUAAAUGGGCUUGCCUUUUGCGGAGAGGUAGUCCUAGAAGACAGAACAAAUAUGUGAUCUCCCAGGAAGCUCUUCGUCAAAACACCUCCUGUCCUUUUCUUAAUUAUUAAAAUAAAAGUGUUUUCACUUCC